GUGAGAUUGAAGUAAAGGGAUUUUAACAAGGCGAUAUGGCAAGGUCAAAUGACUGACUUUUUCGCGGAUCGACUUUUCACAGACCAACCCUCGCUCUGCAACAGGUUAAGAGGAGCAGUAAAAUUCUCAACCAUCAAAACAAAGAAGGUGGAACACAUGAAGUAGCCAACUUUUUGAAGAUAAGCAGAUAUGCCCUGUGCUUUCUGAGCUGUUCACCAACUCUGUUGACCUGCUGAGAGGACCAAAAGCUCCAGAAGAAUGACUGACAAGGGAGAGACUUCUCCGCCUAUAGAAUAGUCUGGACUAGCUGCAUCGAGUGAGAAAUAGAGGCCAUUCCAGGAGAUUUACAUUCUGUCCCGUUCUUUUUCAGAGGCCUGGUGCUUCAGAAAAGAUUUGAAAGGUGUAAGGCUCCCAUUAGGGAGGCUGCGACAUGAUAAUGGAAAACCUUCUCUCCCUGCCCCCCCUCCUCCCUUUGCUUUUACAAGCCUUGCUUAAGACCUCCAGUUCCCUAGGAAUUUUAUGAAUGCCUAGGAGCAGCCAAAAUAAACUCGUAAAAGAAAAGUUUGGGGGAAAAAAGGUCACAGACCUGUACAGCAAGUGCUAAGCAGGAACUAUUUGAAGGAAGAGAAAAGUGCAGGACUAUAGUGCAAGCUUGUGGCAGACACAUAAAUUUUCUGGCCAAAAAAAUAAAAUAAAAUCCACAAAUGGGCAUUUACAAAAGGGAUUCUCCUCCCACUUCCACCCGUUUAAACAGCCCACCUGGCUUUGCACCAUCGGUAAUGAAGCUUUACCACUAACUAUGAACCAAAGCCGUGUUUGCUUUUCAGCUUCUCCAGGGUAGUAAGGAGGGCUGAGUUUACACAGGCAGAAAAUAAACUUGUUGGAAGGUCAGUAUCUGACAUGGCUCAUAGAAUCCAGCCAGGAGGGCAGCAUUUCUGGAGCUGGUACUUGAAUUAAAAAGCAACCCCAUCAGGUAUUCACACCUGAUCCUAUUAUGGUGGGAGGAGAGGAGAAAUUCUGGCUAUUGUUGAGAAAAAGCUAAUGCCAGUUUAUUGGUUUAUUAAAAGGUCACUGGAAUUGUGGAAUCUGGAAUAGAUUCUGUUGAUGCAAGUUGGGUGAUUGCAUAUCUUGUGAUGCCUGAUCUGGGAUACGAUCGAAGAUACAGAUUGUCAUGAAGCUUUCUAAAAAAGAAAAAUUCUGCAGAUGAUUUCCAAGGUUCUACUGUUUCUGCCACUCAAGCAAAGCCAUGGAUUUUUAAACCAGUGCCUUAAUAAAAUUUUAAAAUUAAGAAGCAGAACGGGAAAAAAAGCAUAAGAAGCCUCCAUCCCCCCCCCUUAAAACGAUAAAACACUUUCCCAAAUCAUCCCCCAAACAUUUCACACUCUAGAAAUGACAACAAGACCAGCCACAGUCUAUAUACAGGAUAAUAAUUCUGCUAUUGUUCACAUGAUUGUUUAUGCCGGCAGAAAAGAGCGCUAAGUCAAGAAUCGCUGCCUUUGCUUCGGAAGUAUUGGCUCUUGUUCAAGCCUCCAGUUUAGCCCUGAAUGCAUCAGCAUAAAUGAUUGUAUAAACAGGACUGCGUUAACACUUGCCAGUGAGCCUUCUGCCAAGUGUUAAUUUGCAGCCUCAGUGAAGACGCCUACUGCUGAUGCCUCUUACCACAAACCAAAGGGCUUUAUAGAACUUAUUGCUGCUUGGUAAGUGGAUGGGUGGAUGGAUGUGCCUGCCCCUUUUCCUCUUCUCUUCCUUGGCCUGUGUGUUAUACAUGGACAAUGUCAGACGUCGGCCUCACGGAAUGUCUCACAAGGCCCCUAGAAUGUCUGCCUAGGGACUCAUAGCCAGCAUGCACAGCCAGGGGGCAUGUAUUUCUUGCUAUCACUGUGGCUUCCCUGCUCUGACCUGAGCAUAUAGGCUACAGCAAGUAGGCGGAAGGAGAAAGACAUUAUGGCUUAAGGAAAAGAAGGGGGCUUACUGACAAUUUGCCCAAGAGUACCCCAAAGUCUGAGCUGGGUUGUGUUGAUUGAUGUAGCCUGUUAAGUCAGGCACUGCACAAAAUGCCAUGGAUGUCCAUGGUGUCCCAUGGAAGGAGGACAACAAGACUCCCUUGAGCACACUCAUGGGCAAAUUGCUGAACAUCCCCUCUUCAUCACUUGAAACUGAGUCAGUUUCAAUGCAGUAUACUGUAAUGGUAUGUGGGAAGGACCUUGGGAGACAGGGCGAAGAGAUGCUGCCUAGGGAACGGUCAGAUAAGAGACAGCAUAGCCCACAGAUGAAUAGUAGGUGGGGCAAGAGGCUCAGAAGAGAUCCUCACUAGUUUCUGAGGCUAUAAAUGAGAUGUGGGGGGAGGGGGGAGAAAUGUACUUUCAGACUUGCAAGACACUGUCAAUAUAGUUUUACAAUAAAAUAGAAUUAUCUCAUCUAGUUAUGACUCCUAUCUGGUUUAUCCCAUGAGGUUGGCAGAUAUGCAUGACCUGUAUCUCUGGGUUGACUCCUCCCACUGGAUAAUAUAGUUUACCAAGACAGCUUCUGGAGUCACUGAGGACCAGUAUGUUGAGGCUGCAGAAAUCUAGAGGAUGGGAAGUGUCAGCCUUGUACCUGUCUGGCAUCUAUGCAAAAAUACACGUGCAGCAGUAUACAUGUCAACCCUACCAAUGUCUCGUGUUCAUUCUUGUUUGCAGGGAACACUGCAGUGCUGGUUGAGCUCGUAUAUUUAUUAACCCACCCUCAACUAUUGCAAGACGUUCAUGGUGCCAUAUCUAGUUCAUCCUCUGACUAUAUUCAUAGUCACUCAGAGAAUAGUGCAGUUGGCCCAAACUUCUCCAAUGUUUUUCACGGGUAAAUCAAGAUUUCAAACUGGGUCACAACACUUUAGAGUA